AUUGAACGCUGGCGGCAGGCCUAACACAUGCAAGUCGAGCGGAGCGGCGGACGGGUGAGUAAUGCCUAGGAAUCUGCCUGGUAGUGGGGGAUAACGUCAGGAAACGGGCGCUAAUACCGCAUACCAUCAGCUGAGCCUAGGUGGGAUUAGCCAGUGGGUGGGGUAAAGGCCUACCAAGGGGACGAUCCGUACCUGGUCUGAGAGGAUGAUCAGUCACACUGGAACUGAUACACGGUCCAGACGCCUACGGGAGGCAGCGGUGGGAAAUAUUGGACAAGUGGCGAAGGCCUGAUCCAGCCCGGCCGCUUGUGUGAAGAGGGUCGUCGGAUUGUAAAGCACUUUAAGUUGGGAGGCGUUACCGACAGAAUAAGCACCGGCUAACGCCGUGCCAGCAGCCGCGGUAAUUC
rnacentral:rRNA from 1 species